UGGGUUCUUAACCGAUCAAAAUCGGGUAGCUAAAUUAAGAAACUAGGGUUCCUUUAGCUCACGAUCUCAGCCUUCAUUACCUCUUAUCCCAAAUUCUCUUCUUUCCUUUUCGAUUUCAUCUCCCCCCUCCCCCUCUCUCUCUCAUCGGCGAUCUCAACUCACCGGUGGCUAUCACCUAAGCCUCUUCCUCCCAAUCGGUUGUCUCUCUUCUCUGGUUUGCUUUCUUGAUUAAAGGGCACGAAGACCCACAUUCCUUCUUCUUCUCGACUUGGGGAUUUUGAGUAGUGAUUUGCCAGCGACGAAAAAUCAGGUUUGAUCUCGUACUCUCUCCCCCUGUCUUUUUGCUUCUUAGUUUGAUUUGGGUUUAAUCCUUUUCUUAUAAUCCUCUAGUUUCAGAGAUGGAAUACUUGGAGGAAGAGAGAACUAGCAAGAGCAACGCUAGUAAGAUCUGAUUCUACCAAGUUUGAUUCUUUUAUUUUUUUAUUUGGAUUCAUUUAUCUCCCUAUUUUAUGACCUUCUCUCAUGUUCCGUCUGUCGAUCUAGAGGACAUGAAGCUAGCCCUUAUUCGACUUGAUUUGAUUGAUUUAUGACUGGAUUGAUAUAUGAUUGGAUGAGCUAGGAAGGAUUUUCGUGUUUUGUUUCUCAAUCAGGCCAUUCGGGUCCAUUCACUUGUUUCCUAGAGUUGUGUCAAAGGUUGCAGAUAUCCUUUGGAUAGAGAAUUCAAAGAAAGCGAAUGGUUGGAGUUGGAGGUCAAACAGAGGUAGGACGGGGAAGAUAUGGGCAAAAUACAAUUUUGACCAGUUUGAAAGUUGACCAAACCGAGUUGUAUCCUCAAAGUAGCACUAUUUAAGCCCAUUUGGGUGGACAUGUGGAGAAUAAUCUGUCAUAACAAUUAGAUAGAAUCCGAUUUUGGUCUCUCUUUUCCCUUCUUUUGGAACCCUAAAAGAGGAACUUCAAAAUCAAUUGGAGCUUCGAUUGGAGUGCUUGAAGGCUAGAGUGAAGAUCAAAGGAGCUUUCAUCACCUUCCUUUACCUUGAGCUAGGAUGGUGAUUCUAGCUCUUAUUCCUUGUUGUAGUUUAAUCAUGUUUGGACAGACCAUUUAUUGUUAGAUUGGGGUUGAUGUGGAUGCUAGGAUGAUCCCUUCACGUUGAGGAGUUGGACAUAUUGGAUGCUUAUAUGAUUAAUGGUGUGCUUGGAUGUCAGUGUUUCCAACCUAAUUGUGCUAUGGUUUGAAUUAGGUCAAAUCAAUCAUUUCCUUUGCAUGAUCUUUGUUUAGAAUUGUGUUAGAAGUUAAUCAUGGAUUGAAGUAAGGUGUUUAUGGACCAAGCCACACCCUAAUUCAACCAUUCUUGCUAAGGUUUCUUUAGGGGCUUUUCAUCAAGCACUUAGCGGGCAUUUCAUAAGUCACUCAACUGAGUGACACGAUUGAGGGAUGGGAUGUCAAAUGGUGACUUAGCACCCUAUCCAACUCUUUCUAAAGUCAUUAGGUUAUCUGAACACCUAGACCUUCCAUGAAACACCUUGUGUUCAUUACUAAUUGCUUGAUUGAGAAUAGACCAAGCCUCAAUUGAGGGGUCUAGUGAUGGUAGUCCAUAUGCAUGACCUUGCUACGGAUUCUUGCAAGUGUCUAUGUGUCCAGCCUAUCUUGUUUGUGUGAUUUGAGCAUCUACUAAACCCAUAAUCUAGCAACUUCGCACUCAUAGCUUACUCUUGAUACUUUUUGUACUCGUUCAGUUAGUUGAUUCGAAUUGCAUGCUUGUUAAUGAAUGUUAGUAAAACUAGUUAGUAAUCGUAGAUCACCCCUUGAAAACUCUUUGUGGGUUGAACUGUGCACCAAAAUGUUGAGUAAAAGUUAGUGAACGACCCUCAAAACAAUAAUGACACUAUUGCUAAAUUAGAGAUUGGUUAGCAACCUUUCUCUAGCCAAUCACAGUACCUGCUAGCGAUAUUUCCUAGGAAUUCCCCCACCAAUUUCGAGAAGUAACCACUUGGGAGCUCAUGGAUUUGAAUUAAGAAAGGGACCUUGUGCAGCUCCACCUACUUUGUUCUUCUCUCACACGUACCUCAUGAAGUACUAGGAGGCUGCCAUUAUAGAGUCAGGGCCCAUUAGUUAGGAUUCGUUGCAAAUCAAGCUCAUGAUGGAAACGGAAUAGGUACAUGCCCCCGCGUAGAUCCUCCACUUAUAUUAUACGUCUCGGUUUCCAACUGAUCGCCAUAGUGUGUUUCAUAGCGGUGAAAUUGAAUGACCUUGUCUCCCAUAAAGGAUCCGACCAAGCAUAGGGGGUAGGCAUGGGGUGGUGGGAUUGGGAUCCGUUUUGUUAGCAGCGAUUCCUCGUCAUUACUCUCCGCCAGUGUCAUAUUUUGGACCUGGAGGGAAACUAUCUCAUCCGGCGAUAAGAUCACCGUCUAGGGCGGUGAGGUGUUUUUCCGGUUCAGAUCGGGCUGUUGUGGAAUCCCACCAGAUGCAACUUCAUUGGUCGUAGUCGACACAACUGAGAUGUGAGACAUCGUAAAUACUUGUGCUGCCCCUGGAGAGAGACCGUCGAUGGGUUUCGCCGCCGGUUGGGGCGAUUGGGCAUGUCCUGCUGUAGGCACCGUGAUAUUUCCUUAUGGAGAAGACGAGAAGCAGAUGGAGGAGGGAGAAAGCGGAAAAAGAAAGAUGUUGCUGGUUAUCGAUUGCCCAUUGCCGAUGGAAGAGGAAGAAAGCAAACGAAGGAACUUACUCUUAGGUUUUUGAUUGUCGGGGGCGGAGGAAGGAAGCCGACCACACUCGCCGAGUCGAGAAUAAGAGACUAGCGAUGGUGGACUGGAGGAAUCGAGGAGGAAGGAACCUUGGAGAAAUCCCUCAUUCCAGCUAGGGAAUAUCUAUCUAACUUUAAUGACAUUUGGAAUUGAAUUAGUUUAGGAUUUCGGUUCUCCGGAUCCCUAACAAUAUUUACCGUUUUCCGUUUUUUAAAACCCGCACCGAAUAAGAGGAGUUUGUUUCUGAGAUUUGGGUUCCCGGUAUCAUAAUAUUUCAUGAAAUAUCAAAACGGGAAUAAGAAAUCUCGAAUCCCGUUUCCCAAUUUUACACCCCUACAAAUUUGACAAGACUUUACAUUAAGUUCAAAGAUUGGCAACGGGUAGGGUAAGUCACGGGUACCCCUUACCCAUUCCCUGCCCAUUUGCUAAACAGGUUUCACCCAUAUCCGACCCAUUUAAUUAACGGGUGUUUAAUUUAUACUAGUCUCUUUAAGAAUCGGGUGUCGGAGUCCCUAACACUCAUGGGUUUAAUCCAUCUAACACGACCCACCUAUAAAACAAAACCAUUCAGACCAACAUACUCAUCUUAUUAAUCCAAAGAAAGAAACCUCUUAAAAAUAAAAUCCAUCACUGAAACUGAAGCUGUCUAAAACUAAGCGAAAUCAAAAAUUGAUUGUGACACCCCCGAGUUUUGGUUCGGUUACAAUUUCGGUUUGAUUUAAAUCUUACUUGUUGAGUAGAAGUCGGAAGUUGGAAACCGAAUUAAUUUAAUUAAUUCAAGGAGUUCAGUAGUUGAUCAAGUAUUAAAGGCUUGUAAGACUCAGGAUAAUUAUCGGGUUGAAUAAGUUAAUCGGAGAGGGAGUUAAGUAUUUGAAUUGUGAGCUUGGAGGAAUCUAGGCCAUUAGAUGGAUGUAAUGGUGAGGAAGGAGUUUGAUCCAUUCAAGAGAAGGAAAGUGGGCUGCCAUUUGAAUAGAGAUGGAAAUGCAUAUGUGGUCCAUGGGGCCAAUUGAAUUUGUUGUGACGUGAUGUGCUUGGGUCAUUGGAUUGAUACGAUGGACAAACUAGGCCCGUGAUCAUUCAAGAAUUGGAGUUGAGAUUAAGUCGUCUCCCCCCAACCUAAUCAUGAACAUGGAACACAGAGAGGGAUUACACCGCCACCGUCACUUUGACAUGGAGAGGAACAAGAAUCGACCCCGUCAAUAGAGGAUCUUUAGGAGAUGGCGAUCGAUGGAGGAACGUGAAUCGAGCCUUUUCGCCGAAGAAGAAGAAGGACCAACCUACAAGUCUUGGAAGUUAAGUGACCAGUUGGUAAUGUUCCCAGAAAGAUAAGAGUUUUGCUUUCAUAGUUCUAAACUUUUGGAUGGUUUACAGUUAAGGACUUGUAUCAGUUUUGUCAACGACUGGAAGUAACUAAUGCAGUUAGAGGACUAGUGCAACCUUUCUGUCCCAACAAAUUUCAUAAUGUUGCAAAGAAGUAAAUAGAGCAUAACUCAAUGGUUUGGACUCCAAAAGACACACAGUCAGAAGCUAUAGACUCGUGGUAGUGAGAGGAAUCAUGUCAACUUAGAAACAAUAAUGUAAGCUCUUCCUAAUAGGUGGGUUUUUGGAUUACUUUUCUUCUUUAAGCGUAGAACCCUAGUUAGGUUGUGAGGAAUCCAAAGAUCAAAUUUCAUAUGAUUCGGAGCCGGGUUCUUAGGACUUUACAACAGCAUGUGAUCAAUUGUACAUGUAUUUAUGUUAUGAUAUAGAGCAAGGCGUUAGGACUAUGCAGUAUCUUGUGUUCUAUUAUACAGGUGUUUAUGAUAUGAUAUAGAGCGAGGCUCUCGGGACUGUACAGUUGCUUGUGAUCUACUAUAUAUGCAUUUAUUAUUCAAGCAUAAUCUCAUGACUUUUGAACUAUGAUGCACAGUUCAUGAUUAGGACACGAUCAGGUUUAACUAGAAUAGUUUUUUAUAUGCGUUGGUCACCCUCCUAUAGAGUGUGCAAUCCCCCAGGUUAUAAUCAGGCUCAGCCAGGACGUGUUGACUAUGCCUACAGAUGCUGCUCACACAGUAUUUAGACUGGUUUCAUGGCCUGAUCCACCAUAAGGUCGUCCGUUCACAGUUAGGGGUGGCUGAUGCUAGGUUGAUCCCUAUAGGACCACAAGGUCACAUUAUUAGUUUCAAUGUUUGAUAGACUUCUUGUUCUAUCAUCAGUACAGUCUCAAUAGAGACUCAAUAUAUUCUCAGUGCAGUUCUAGUGUAGUGUCAGCUCUAUGCAAGUCUGGCUUAGUCUCUUAGUGCUUAUCACUGACCCCUUUAGAUAUUGUUUUUCUUGGUGUAUAUGUGUGUUCAGUCUCAGGUACUGGAGCUGAUGAUGGAGAGAGAGCUGGUCGGAGUUUUGAUAUCAGAUGAUAUAUGUUUUUGAUGUAUUUUUAGUACUGGAGUUGGAUCUCAUUUUUUUGUUGAGUUUUGGGAUUCGGGAUCCUACUUGGUCAGUUUUAUUAAAGUUUUUCCAUUGAAGCUCUUAAUGUGUGUUUUAAUGCUUUGGUUAGUAGUUUAGAGUUGAGUUACGGUUCAAGUAGAAAUCCGAGUAGGUUUCUUCAUAUGAACCAGUGGUUCGACCGAGGCUCUUAGGGUCGGGUUUCACACUGAUAAAGAUAAGAACUGAAUGUGGAUCAGUCUAAACUAUUUGACCAACUCUUGAAACUGAGAAACAGAAGAAUUAAAA
rnacentral:lncRNA from 1 species